AACAAGCGCUGGCGGCGUGUCUUAAGCAUGCAAGUCGAGCGGCAAGGGCAGCAAUGCCCCUAGAGCGGCGGACUGGUGAGUAACGCGUGGGUGAUCUACCUUGGGCAUGGGGAUAGCCAUUAGAAAUAGUGGGUAAUACCGAAUACGUUCCAUACUGUGAGGGUAUGGAGGAAAGGCGCUACGGCGCCGGCCUGAAGAUGAGCUUGCGUCCCAUUAGCUAGUUGGUGAGGUAACGGCCCACCAAGGCGAUGAUAGGUAGCCGGCCUGAGAGGGUGUACGGCCACACUGGGACUGAGAUACGGCCCAGACUCCUACGGGAGGCAGCAGCUAAGAAUAUUCCGCAAUGGACGAAAGUCUGACGGAGCGACGCCGCGUGGAUGAAGAAGGCCGAAAGGUUGUAAAGUCCUUUUGCUGGGGAAGAAUAAGUCUGGGAGGGAAUGCCCGGAUGAUGACAUGAACCGGCGAAUAAGCCCCGGCUAACUACGUGCCAGCCGCCGCGGUAAAAC
rnacentral:rRNA from 1 species